AGUGAACGCUGGCGGCGUGCUUAACACAUGCAAGUCGAACGAGAACGGGUUAUAGCUUGCUAUAAUUGUCAGCUAAGUGGCGCACGGGUGAGUAAUGUAUAGGUAAUAUGCCUCUUACUAAGGGAUAACAAAUGGAAACGUUUGCUAAUACCUUAUACUCCUUAUUAACAGAAGUUAAUAAGGGAAAGAUUUAUUGGUAAGAGAUUAGCCUGUAUUGUAUCAGUUAGUUGGUGGGGUAAUGGCCUACCAAGACUAUGACACAUAACUGGUUUGAGAGGAUGAUCAGUCACACUGGAACUGAGACACGGUCCAGACUCCUACGGGAGGCAGCAGUGGGGAAUAUUGCACAAUGGACGAAAGUCUGAUGCAGCAACGCCGCGUGGAGGAUGACACAUUUCGGUGCGUAAACUCCUUUUAUAUGAGAAGAUAAUGACGGUAUUAUAUGAAUAAGCACCGGCUAACUCUGUGCCAGCCGCCGCGGUAA
rnacentral:rRNA from 1 species